UAGCAGUGAGGAAUAUUGGUCAAUAGCCUAACGGCUGAACCAGCAACUUGGAGGAACGAAUAGCAAUAGCUAGUUGCACCAACGCACAGUUGGAGCAAAAUCGACUAUGUCGAAUAAAGUUCUAAGUAGAUAUAUGAUAAUGACGUAAUCUGCUUAUGUGUCUUGACCAAAUUACGUGCCAGCAGUCGCGGUAAUACGUAGAAGACUAGUGUUAUUCAUCUUUAAUAGGUUUAAAGGGUACCUAGACGGUAAAUAAAGCUUUUAACUAUUGAACUAAUUUACUAGAGUUACUUAUGAGGGGGUAUUAAAGUACUAGUGGUGUAGAGAUGAAAUUCUGUAAUACCUAUUUUCGGAAGAAAAGUCACGGCACAGGUAUAGGCGAAAGCAUCCCCUUAUGUGAUAACUGACGUUGAAGGACGAAGG
rnacentral:rRNA from 1 species